rnacentral:rRNA from 1 species
AUACGGAGGGGGCUAGCGUUAUUCGGAAUUACUGGGCGUAAAGCGCGCGUAGGCGGUUUUUCAAGUCAGAGGUGAAAGCCCGGAGCUCAACUCCGGAAUUGCCUUUGAAACUGGAUCACUAGAAUCAUGGAGAGGUCAGUGGAAUUCCGAGUGUAGAGGUGAAAUUCGUAGAUAUUCGGAAGAACACCAGUGGCGAAGGCGACUGACUGGACAUGUAUUGACGCUGAGGUGCGAAAGCGUGGGGAGC